rnacentral:rRNA from 1 species
CCUACGGGUGGCAGCAGUGAGGAAUAUUGGUCAAUGGACGAGAGUCUGAACCAGCCAAGUAGCGUGAAGGAUGACUGCCCUAUGGGUUGUAAACUUCUUUUAUAUGGGAAUAAAAUGUUCCACGUGUGGGAUUUUGUAUGUACCAUAUGAAUAAGGAUCGGCUAACUCCGUGCCAGCAGCCGCGGUAAUACGGAGGAGCCGAGCGUUAUCCGGAUUUAUUGGGGUUAAAGGGAGCGUAGGUGGAGUGUUAAGUCAGUUGUGAAAGUUGGGGGCUCAACCGUAAGAUUGCAGUUGAAACUGGGAGGCGUGAGUACAGGAGAGGUAGGCGGAAUUCGUGGUGUAGCGGUGAAAUGCGUAGAUAUCACGAAGAACUCCGAUGGCGAAGGCAGCUUACUGGACUGCAACUGACGCUGAGGCUCGAAGGUGUGGGUAGCAAACAGGAUUAGAUACCCCGGUAGUC